rnacentral:rRNA from 1 species
AGUGAACGCUGGCGGUAGGCCUAACACAUGCAAGUCGAACGGCAGCACAGUAAGAGCUUGCUCUUACAGGUGGCGAGUGGCGGACGGGUGAGGAAUACAUCGGAAUCUACUUUUUCGUGGGGGAUAACGUAGGGAAACUUACGCUAAUACCGCAUACGACCUACGGGUGAAAGCAGGGGAUCUUCGGACCUUGCGCGAUUGAAUGAGCCGAUGUCGGAUUAGCUAGUUGGCGGGGUAAAGGCCCACCAAGGCGGCGAUCCGUAGCUGGUCUGAGAGGAUGAUCAGCCACACUGGAACUGAGACACGGUCCAGACUCCUACGGGAGGCAGCAGUGGGGAAUAUUGGACAAUGGGCGCAAGCCUGAUCCAGCCAUACCGCGUGGGUGAAGAAGGCCUUCGGGUUGUAAAGCCCUUUUGUUGGGAAAGAAAAGCAGCAGGUUAAUACCCCGCUGUUCUGACGGUACCCAAAGAAUAAGCACCGGCUAACUUCGUG